rnacentral:tRNA from 1 species
AAAGUUUUAAGUUAAAAAAACUAUUAAUUUUCAAAAUUAAAAUUAAAUAAAUUAUUUAAGCUUUA